UGCAUGAAGAACAGCAAUGAAAGCAGCGAGGAUGAAGCUGUAAAAGAUGAUCCUGUUCAUUGUGUCUGUGCUGGGCUGUUAAACUCACAGGCAGUGGUUAUGAGUUCUUCGUAAAGAAGACUUGAUUGAAUUGAGAAUAGUACCUACUACAGAUGGAAUGGCAUAUAUAUAUUCUUGUUGGGAAAGUAUCAACGACUGGGAAGGAUUUGACACCCUGGCGAACAAUGAGAGCUGUUCACUGAUGGACUCACUACAAACAUCAACACAAUGGUUCUCUGGCUCUAUAUCUGGUCACUGGCAACCGCUGGAAACACGUAGUUUCUCGAUAUAGAUACAAGUUGUGUGGAUUAAAACCUUUAAAACAGUCGCCCAGAUAAAAUCGG